AACGCUAUCUACAGGCUUAACACAUGCAAGUCGAGGGGCAGCAUGGUCUUAGCUUGCUAAGGCCGAUGGCGACCGGCGCACGGGUGAGUAACACGUAUCCAACCUGCCGUCUACUCUUGGACAGCCUUCUGAAAGGAAGAUUAAUACAAGAUGGCAUCAUGAGUCCGCAUGUUCACAUGAUUAAAGGUAUUCCGGUAGACGAUGGGGAUGCGUUCCAUUAGAUAGUAGGCGGGGUAACGGCCCACCUAGUCUUCGAUGGAUAGGGGUUCUGAGAGGAAGGUCCCCCACAUUGGAGCUGAGACACGGUCCAAACUCCUACGGGAGGCAGCAGUGAGGAAUAUUGGUCAAUGGGCGAGAGCCUGAACCAGCCAAGUAGCGUGAAGGAUGACUGCCCUAUGGGUUGUAAACUUCUUUUAUAAAGGAAUAAAGUCGGGUAUGGAUACCCGUUUGCAUGUACUUUAUGAAUAAGGAUCGGCUAACUCCGUGCCAGCAGCCGCGGUAAUACGGAGGAUCCGAGCGUUAUCCGGAUUUAUUGGGUUUAAAGGGAGCGUAGAUGGAUGUUUAAGUCAGUUGUGAAAGUUUGCGGCUCAACCGUAAAAUUGCAGUUGAUACUGGAUAUCUUGAGUGCAGUUGAGGCAGGCGGAAUUCGUGGUGUAGCGGUGAAAUGCUUAGAUAUCACGAAGAACUCCGAUUGCGAAGGCAGCCUGCUAAGCUGCAACUGACAUUGAGGCUCGAAAGUGUGGGUAUCAAACAGGAUUAGAUACCCUGGUAGUCCACACGGUAAACGAUGAAUACUCGCUGUUUGCGAUAUACUGCAAGCGGCCAAGCGAAAGCGUUAAGUAUUCCACCUGGGGAGCACGCCGGCAACGGUGAAACUCAAAGGAAUUGACGGGGGCCCGCACAAGCGGAGGAACAUGUGGUUUAAUUCGAUGAUACGCGAGGAACCUUACCCGGGCUUAAAUUGCAGAUGAAUUACGGUGAAAGCCGUAAGCCGCAAGGCAUCUGUGAAGGUGCUGCAUGGUUGUCGUCAGCUCGUGCCGUGAGGUGUCGGCUUAAGUGCCAUAACGAGCGCAACCCUUGUUGUCAGUUACUAACAGGUUCCGCUGAGGACUCUGACAAGACUGCCAUCGUAAGAUGUGAGGAAGGUGGGGAUGACGUCAAAUCAGCACGGCCCUUACGUCCGGGGCUACACACGUGUUACAAUGGGGGGUACAGAGGGCCGCUACCACGCGAGUGGAUGCCAAUCCCCAAAACCUCUCUCAGUUCGGACUGGAGUCUGCAACCCGACUCCACGAAGCUGGAUUCGCUAGUAAUCGCGCAUCAGCCACGGCGCGGUGAAUACGUUCCCGGGCCUUGUACACACCGCCCGUCAAGCCAUGGGAGCCGGGGGUACCUGAAGUGCGUAACCGCGAGGAGCGCCCUAGGGUAAAACUGGUGACUGGGGCUA
rnacentral:rRNA from 1 species